rnacentral:rRNA from 1 species
CCUACGGGCGGCUGCAGUAGGGAAUUUUGCGCAAUGGGGGAAACCCUGACGCAGCAACGCCAUGUGUGGGAUGAAGCAUUUCGGUGUGUAAACCACUGUCGGCAGGGAAUAAAGCCCGCGUUUACGCGGGGGUGAAUGUACCUGCAGAGGAAGCCCCGGCUAACUUCGUGCCAGCAGCCGCGGUAAUACGAGGGGGGCAAGUGUUGUUCGGAAUCACUGGGCGUAAAGGGAGCGUAGGCGGACGUUUAAGUCGGGUGUUUAAAACCGGGGCCCAACCCCGGAGCGGCACUCGAAACUGGGCGUCUUGAAUGGGACAGAGGCUGGUGGAAUUGGGGGUGUAGCGGUGGAAUGCGUAGAGAUCCCCAAGAACACCGAUUGCGAAGGCAGCCAGCUGGGUCCACAUUGACGCUGAGGCUCGAAAGCAUGGGGAGCAAACAGGAUUAGAUACCCUAGUAGUC